GCAACCGGCGCGCGGCCAAUUUUCCCCUCCAAGGGCUGCUGAAAAAAAAUUAAAAUGGUCGAGGGCGGGGGAGGCGGCUCACUUGGGAGCAUAGCAGGCGGGCCUGGCCCGGCCGGGAGACAAACAGUCUCUCCAGUUGCCCCAGGCAUUUUCCCAAUCGCUCUCUGGAACUGGCUGGAGAUGCUGAGCAACCUACCCAGGCCUCAAUUUGCCUCAGGAAAACAUGAGAAGUAGAUUGGUAAAUUUUACUUCAAACAACCAAACAAAAGGAACACUGUGAGGAGGGUGAGAUGCUGUGGUAGCCUGGAGCUUUAAAUCAGGAAGAAGGCCGCCGUAUUGUGAGUGGCCCAAGGGAGAGGCCCACGUGGCUAAGCCCUGAUGUCUUCGCCCAACAGCCGGUGAAGACGUGAAGCCUGUCAGCAUCCAUAUGGGAAACAGAUCCUUCCCAGUGGAGCCUUGAGAUAACUGCAGCCCCAACGGACACCUUGAUCACGGCCUCGUGAGAGAUCUGAACCCGAACCACCCAGCUAAGCCGGUGGUUCCUGACCCGCAGAAACUGUAAAGUAAUAAAUGUGUUAUUUAC